CUUGAGGAUUCGCCGUUUCUCCUGUAAUGGCCAUUUGCCAUGGAAGGCUGCUGGGGGUUAUUCUCUGGCUGCCGGCGCUCAGCCCUGCACAGCAGCCAAGGCCUUCAUGAAGUAGGUUUCUGGAUAGCUGUAGGCGAGCUGCCCCGUGGCUGCAGUGUGCUCACAGCCUUGGGCUGCAGUGCUUUAGAUAGCCAUGGACUGUCUGCACACAUCAGUAACAGCUCAGCACUCGCAGCAUUGUUGGCCAUUUCUUUCCCUUACCUAGACUCGGCGUUUACUUGUGCAGUCUGGGGGGCUGAGGGAGCAAUUCUCCAUGAGCCGAAGUUCACGGAAUAGCCAGGGUGAACUCGAGGUUGGAAGAGCUUCAGAGGCGUGAGGAAUUAAGUGCCAGGCUGUGGCUAAUGGGAGCUGUGUUCCUGCCUGCAUGAAGUACUUGGAAUACCCUUGACCACUGCUGGGUGUUGUUUCUCUUCUCUACAAAGUGCAGACAUGGUGAGAGUCUGGAGAGUUGAUUUUAGUUAUCCUUAAAGUUUACUCAUUAGAGGAAAUACAGUGACUAUCAUCUGGCUGACCUUUGAAAUCCGCCUGAGCGUUCCGGGCCUUGGCUUUGUCUGCGGGCGAGCGGAGGGCCGGCGAGUGAGCAGCUGCUGUGCAGGCACCAACAAGGGUUAAUCGGUCUCACAGCCGAACAAUGGAGACGGGGCAGCUUUAAACGAAAUGAGCUGAAUAUUUCAUUCGGCCACUCGGCUGCCUGCUCCAAUUGCCUCCUUUGCUAAAACGAGAGCUUAAUCUAAAGUGACAACAACAUCAGUUUCUGUGUGCUCCAGUCACACAGAACAUGACUUCCUUAACAUAAACACUAUUUACAUGGACCGUCUGGAUAUAGCAGGGAAUCAGGAGCGUGCCCAGCAAAGACAGAGGCUACAAUGAAGGACGAAUAACAGGCAGCUGAGAAUUAACAUCAGCAAAUGAAAGCCUGACCCUCAGAGGGCAUGUCCCUGUUACAUUUUAAAGCUAGAAAGCCUUGCACCGGUAACCUUCCUUCCAGUAAAGACUAUAUAAUUUAAAAGAAAAUAGUACCUUUUCAGCUUAGAUACUUAACCAAAUGCAUUAUGUCUGACCCAUUUUCCUACUCGAUCUGACACAAGAUGAAGGACCCCCAGCUGCAAUUACUGGUCUUCCGAACAGCUGUAACCGAUAAGCCCUCCUUCUGCUCCCGUCUCAAAGAGCUCCCACUUUUUGGCAGAAGAGGGGAGAUGCUGCUGAGAGGAAGCUGGGGGCCUGGCCCAGUUCCAUCCCCUGCUGCUGGAAGCAGACCUGUGUGCUUCUGGAUGCCACCUGAAGAUGCUGCCUCUGACCGCCUGGCUGCUGUGCUGCUCCUGGUAGGGAAGGUUAUGCUCCAGCUCGGGGCAUUGAGGCCCACACUGUGUCUGCUGCCUACCUUCUUCCCAUAGGCACUAUGGGACACGUCCUCAAGAUGUAAAUGCUCGUGGCUCUCAGCUUGAGUGGGGAGCUCUACCCCAGAAUGAGGGCUCGUCCUCCUCUUACCUGGUGUAACUUCAAGACUGUUUCAUUUGCUCCAGCAGUAUCUUGUACAUCAAAGAAUAUUUGGUUCAGCAACUGCAGGGAGGAGGAGAACACAAACUGUUCCUGUGCUUUAUUCAAUGACGACAGUUUUUCACUGCCUCGUUAAAGCACACGGAUUGGCAGGAAUUGAACUAUGGUGCUGCCACAAAAGGUGGAGCUGGCUUUUCACACCCUGCCUGAUGAAGCAGCUUCCAGACCGUGUUUCAGAGGUAUGGAGCCCAGGCAGUACAUGUCCCAUGCUGGUAGAUGGACAAGCUGUACCAAGCUCUGUGGGGAGCACAUGCCUUGUUUAUGACUUUACUCCCAAGCAACAAAGCCAUCCCUUUGCUUCCAGUGCUUGUGCCUCAACAUGGAACUUGUAACGGGAAGGGAAAUGGAUAUUUGAAGUAAGGCCUUAGGAUGUGUAGUGGUGGUCUAGAGGAAACCAUUGAGUAUUGCCUGUUUGUGUCAGUAGAGUUAAAGGACCACAACCUCUUCCACAUGAACCCAUUAUCGUGUCAUGCAGCGUUGUAAGGGAUGAGUUUCAUCUGGGCACAGGAAAAAUGAAUUUUUCUUUGGCACAGUAUUGUGAAAGUGUUGUCGAUGUUCUCCCCAAAUACACAAUUCUUGUUGAUUGUUCCAGCAAAAGCCAGAUGAAUCCUGUUGUUAUUUGUUUUGCCUAUCCAUUGCUUUUUAAAGUCUGUUAAAGUCAAUCAAGCAUGGGUAAAAUGAGGAGUGAUGCAAUAGUUACUAGCAUAUUCUAGUGUUUUUGCUACACUAAUGGUCACAGAUUUGUCCAUUUUUCUGUAGUCAUUUUGUUGGAGCAGAGUUUUAAGAGGAGCUUUGAAAGACAACAAAGCUUUAUGGAGUUUUAGAGAAAGUUUUUGGUUACAAGUUUUGGAAACAGAGGAAGACUUGGUGUACAUUUUUGAUGAUGGUUAAUGAGCGAUAGAGCUCGUUGGGCAGUGACCAAGUCAGAUCUAGUGGUGUUGUACUGGGGGGAGCCUUGGGAUUCAGAACAAGCAGCAGGGGCUCACUGCAAUGGAGAAGGGGUGCCAGGGGAAAAUUGGAAAGGUGGGUAUGUGUUAAGGAAAGGGAUGAGAAUGAUUUUCACUGUGGCAAGUGGGUAAGGACAAGAAUGCUUUUGUGAACACAUGCCCUUAGAUGAAGUUUCUAAUGGCUUUAUAGUGAGACUCGAUCUGAACUCUUUAUGGUAUUAGAAGUGCUCUGGUCUAGCACCCUUAGAAUGAGGUCUUGUUUAUCGUCAUGGGGGUAAUUGAAAGGAUAAAGCCUGGGCCUAGCCAACAAACUUCAGAAACAUUGUCAGUGAAAUACAGUAAUGCUUUUUAAAAAAUGCAAUUUUUAUCCCACUCACUGGACUUCCUUGACACACGUGCAAUCAUGUCCCAAGGCACUGUGGUCUCAGGAGAUGGAGCAGUUUAAGAGAACAGUAUCUGCUCAAAACCUGACUGUGAGUGGUUUCCAGUGAGUCAUGGCAGAUGGGCAGUGAUUGAGCAGUGUGCGACCUGGUCAGGUCAGCCCUGCAGUGCUGGGAGAGCUGAGCUGCCCCCGAGCCUCUGCUUCCAGUAAGACAGAACAUCCAUGCUUCAUUUAAAAAGUGCAUGCUUCAUUUCAGACCUGUAGCAGCAUUACUAAUAUCUGUCUGAACACGAAGACAACUCUAUCUGCAUAUUUAAAUUUCACAUAUGAUUUGAUGCAGAUUUGAGUAACCUUCUAUGCUAAGCUAUCAUAGGAGCUCAGUGUUAGUUGAUAGCUGUGUUUCACCCUUGUGUUGAGGUUCCGUGCUUAAGUAGACAAAUGACUGCAGAGUGCAGGUUUGUAUGGCUGGAAGGACUGAAGAACUCAGAGAGUCAUGGUUAGUCAGCCUGUUCCCUAAAGGAAAUGGUUAAUGUGCUUCGCUGGAAACUGCUUCACAUUGUUCUCAUUCAGGAAUAUACAUGGGAGACAUUUUUGCCAAUAAAAGCAUUAAUUCCUGGAUAACGAGGAGUCCUUGCCAUUCCCAUGUGAAAGCUCUGCCAGAUUGGUUCAGAUGACUCCACCUACUAAAACUAUGUAUGCUUAUGACAUGCACUGCUUUAAGCCAUAAAUAAAUCCGUGGCAUUGUGCCUGUAAUAAUCUUUCUGUAGAGCUGUACAGCCUACUACUACCCAUUAGCUGAUGUAUUUAUUGUGCUUACUGUUCUGUUCCAUUAUUUCUGUAGCAUGAAUGUGAUGGUAUCUGGUGAAGUAAUUUUAAAAACAUUGUUGAAAGAACAAAAUAGAGAUCAUGUGAAGCACCCCUAAAGGUAAUGCAGCUUUGUGUGGGCACAGAAGUCCUUAAUGUAGAUCAGCUUGUUGCUCAUAUCACUGAAGUUCUUCAUCCAUCCACACACGCGCUAUGUGUAUGUAAAUCCAAAAUAGGUAUUUAUUUGUGAUAUUUUUAAACUCAUGCAUUUACAUAGUUGACUGUUGUAACAGUAAAGUGAAUGCAAAUGCGUAAGGUUCUACAUGCGGAGAUGUUCACAGGGAGAAGCUAUUUUAGUAUAUAGAAGAAUGUGAAUUGAAGAUGCUGUUGUAAUAGAUUCUAUAGCUUCUGAAACUAUAGUUUCAGAAAGGGACAUAGGUAAUCCUGUAUACUUACAUCAUGAGGCAUUCAGAAGUAAGGAAAUACCAGCUGUAUGACACCGAUGUUCUGUUGUUUUUAUAUGUUGUGUUUUUUAACAGUAGCAAAAUAAGAGUUCUACAAUAAAGCUUUUUUUUUUUCUUUUUUCUAAUCAUGUUAAAAUAUUGUGAUUACCAAUUACAUAUUUUAAACCUAAAGGGUUUCCUCAUUAAGCACAAGCGGCUGGAAGGCUGGUAUCAUAAAUCUCCAUUUCCUUUAUCCGUGACUGUUUACAGAUUUUCUUUUGGCACUUCUGCUGGUUCCUAGGAAUAAUAAAAAAAAAAGUAAGCCACACCAACUCACUUUCCAUUCAGGUUCCAAACUGUCUUGAAGACUUACUACUUUGCAGCCCUUACUAGUUCCGAUUUUCAUUGGGAACAAGAACUUUCUACGUCAUUUCUGUGCUAAGCACUGGUAAGGCUGAAGUAUUUACUCAGUUAAAGCAGAGAUUGUUACGAUGCUGUUCACUGCAAAAGCAAAUACUCUAUGAUUUGUGAUAAAAUGGUCUGUUUUCUCAGUGGACGUUGUAGGUAUAUUUCACCACAACUGCAUGGUGAAACAUCGGCUAAAUAUUUUUUCUUGUUAAGCUAUGUUAACUGAGGAGUUGUUUGUAUGGGUGCAGACAUAUUUGAAAAGAGAGGACUUCUUUAUUUUGAAGUGUUUAUGAAAUGGCAACGAUAUACAAAGAACCGCGUACUGAGGGUAUGCGUUAACCUGAACUGGAUGUAUGUGAUUGCUGAGGUACUGUUAACAAUUGCUGGGUCUCUGAGAGGCUUCACAGCCUUUCUGGAAGUAGAUGUUGGGCUCUGCGGUGAUGCUCAAUUAUAUGAUCUUGAUCUGGAAGAAACAUAGGAGCAUUGCUGUAUCUAGCUAUUUACAGUGUGUCCGUUUAGAGUGUGGUAUUUUGGCAUCUCUUUCAGCAACUGAAUACCAUUAAUUCCAAAGUAACUAGAGGCUUUGGUGCCUAGGUGGGACUUUGCUGAAGUCAGAGCAGCUCAGUGCAAUGAGGCUGGAGGGCUUUGAGGGCAAUAUCCGCUGUCAGUGAGCUAACACUGCAGCUCUUGGCAAAUACUGUGAUACUGUGGCCACAUCCCCAAGUUGUUGACAUGGAAGUGUUAUAUGUUUACUGAGAGAAUGACUUCUCUUGUUUGGAUAUAUUCUCUUAUGGAAUUAAGAAGGCAUAGCUGAAGGAAUCUUUUUCAUUUUUGAUCUAGAUCUGGGGAUAAUAAAUAGGAAAAUGCUGAAGUAUCAGUCGUCUGGGAAACAUUGUGUCUACAUCAAGGCUAAAUCCUAGGCUAUCCUCUAAGCACUUAGUGAUGAAAACUUUUGUUUCUUGUGCCUUAGGAAUUAAGUUUGUCAAUUGUAUUUCAGACGCAGUGCUUUCUAUCCAAAAUGGAAAGUAUAUCACAUACUGGCAAAUGCACAUCCUCUUGUAAUUUUACACUCACUAAAAUGGCUUAUUUGCUCAGAUUCAUUGUCUGCCAUUCUGAGACAUUUCUACCUUUUAACACCAUUGUACUUUCACACCAUAUUGCUUUCUUUACAGAUGGGGAGGGAAGUAUGGUCAGAGAACAGGAAUUCUUACAAUUAUCACCCUUUCUGGAAACACCAUGAUGCUAGGUUUCAGCUAUGCCCACUGUUUUCAGGCUUCUCUACAUUCUUCCCUCAAGGGUGUUAUUGAACAAAUAACUUCAGCAGGAGCUGCUGCAAGAGCUUUUUCAGUCAAGCAUUACUCUAGGAGUCCGGAUUCUUGGUUUCCAGUUUUGAUUCUGCUAUAGUACCACUGUUAUUUAUUUGUCCCUUGACUUACCUAUCUGUAAAAUUGUAAUGCCAGUAUUUAUCUUCAAAUUUGGUGGAGACAUACAGCCUGCCAGGAACUAAAGUCAGUGGGAACUAUUCAUCCCCCUGUACGUGUUUGAAACAGACCUGUAGUGCAAAGGGAGGUUUGCUGAGUCCUUGGAGAUCCUCAGAUGAAACCAGCUGUGAACUAUAAAGGAUUACUACUGUUUGCACAGUGUUAUGGUCAUAAGAUAAAUUCAAAUGAAGAGUUCUUGAUCCUGGCUAUGAAUAGUCUGAAUUAGACAUAGCAUAACAAGAAGAGGGAUUUUUUUUUUCUUUUUUUAGUGUGUGGGGAUAUUUAUCUAUAUAUAGUCCUCUGGAACUGCAGCAGUAGGAUGCUUUACUUCUCAUUCUCAACUUUUUUUUCAUAAUUUUAAAGCAUUCUGGUCAUUUCUACAACUGGAAAGAAAAAAUACAGAACAAAUGAGCAACAACAACAGAAACAACAACAACAGCAACAAACCCAAACGCCUAGAGAUCAAAAGAUGUACAGCUGCAAAUCUCUCAGUAGAUCUGCCUGAUGCUCUGGGUUGUUGGCGUGGCUGUUAGCGCUGAUUGGAUUUCUGUAUCAGAGUCUGGACACUAUGACCCUUUCUACUGGCGUUGGUCCAGUAAAAGUCUACUG
rnacentral:lncRNA from 1 species